rnacentral:rRNA from 1 species
AUUCCUGCCCAGUGAUAAAAUUCAACGGCCGCGGUAUCCUAACCGUGCAAAGGUAGCAUAAUCACUUGCCCAUUAAUUGUGGGCUAGAAUGAACGGACCAACGAAAUAAGAACUGUCUCUGUAAGUCCUAUAAAAAUUAAUCUCUAACUGAAGAGUGUUAGAUAGCCUUGAAGGACAAGAAGACCCUAUAGAGCUUCAUUUAAUAAAAAUAAUACACAUAUUUUAAAAAUUCGGUUGGGGCGACCAGGGAAAACAUAAAUCAUCCCACACUUUUAAGAUUUAUGCAUCUUAUUAAUGACCCUUAAUCAAGAUCAACAAAACAAGCUACCUUAGGGAUAACAGGCUAAUCCCGUUAAAGAGUCCUUAUUAAUAACGGGGUUUGGCACCUCGAUGUUGGCUUAGGAAAUCCAUACGGCGCAAAAGUCGUAUAAUGAUGGUUUGUUCAACCAAUAAUUUCCUACAUGAUCU